GAUGAACGCUGGCGGCGUGCCUAAUACAUGCAAGUCGAGCGAAGCGGGGACGGGUGAGUAACACGUGGAUAACCUCCUAUAAGACUGGGAUAACUUCGGGAAACCGGAGCUAAACCGGAUACUUAUAGAUGGAUCCGCGCUGCAUUCGCUGGUUGGUAAGGUAACGGCUUACCAAGGGAACGAUGCAUAGCCGACCUGAGAGGGGUGUCAUCCCCACUGUAACUGAGACACGGUCCAGAGUCCUCCUAGAACCAUCACUAUUCAAUCUUCCGCAAUUGGCGAAAGCCUGACAGAGCAACGCCGCGUGAGUGAUGAAUUUCUUCGGAUCCUAAAACUCUGUUAUUAGAGAAGCGGUACCUAAUCAGAAAGCCACGGCUAACUACGUGCCAGCAGCCGCGGUAAUAC
rnacentral:rRNA from 1 species